GGCUGAGGUCCGCGCUCGUGUGACGAGAACUCUCCUCCGGCAGCCGCCUGGGGGAAUUUUGUCUAUAUAAGGGCUCGCCGGCUCACGGCUUUGGCGUGCGUGUCACAGGCUGUUGGAGGGUAGUGAUGACCCUUUACUCCUCCCUGUAAUCUUCCAGCAUCCAGCACAAAUUCCUGUAGAUAUAAGGGGGAUUUACAGUCCUGUUGCCGUGGCUUUCAGGUGCACUUGAGGAAAACACUCCAUGAAAUAUCCAGUUUGAGCAUUCAUUUGAUAAAGGCAACUCUUGGCUCUGAGAUACUGUUAUGUUCAGGUUCGAAAGUGAAAAACAAAUCAAGAUCCAGCUGGUUCUGUGUUAAUCCAGUGAGACUCAGAAAUGUCAACUCACCAUUUAUCUCCAAAAGAGAAAAUAUCCUUUCCUAAUACUGCAAUGAAUGCCAUCACUAAAGAUGAAAUUUCAUCAUAAGUGUCUACAA